UACUGAUUAUACACUCUGUUCGUAACUCAUAUAAAAGGAAAAGCAAUCUGUUUUGUUUAUCUAUCUUUUAUUUUAUUUUACUUUUUCAUUAGAAUUGAGGCUUGUGCCACAUAGAAAGAGACAUUUGUUCAUAGCAGCUGUUGUUUAUAUUACAUCCAGUAUGGUGUCAUCGUCUAUGAGGGUCGUUUUAAACUCAAUCAAUGAAUGGCAGAUUUACUUCUGAACAGCUCUGAGUAAAACUAUUUGUUUAUUGACGACCAGAAAAUUGUAUUUGUAUAAGAGUAAAACACUGAAGUAACCAAGUCAGUUCACAUGACAAACUGUACAAAACAUAACGCUGCUUACACUGGUGGAGUUUGAAUAAUAGUGUUGGAGUCAGUGUUCACAUGCUGCUUGGUUGGCUAUGAAAACAGGCACACAAUAAUGCCACGAUGCUCACUCCUGUCAGCACCAGUGGGGUCGCCUGACCUGGGCAUCCGGGGCAUUAAACCCGGAUGUUUUUUCUUUAGCCCCGAAUAAUUCAACUUCUGAAGAAAUAUAACGACUGUACAUUAACGAGCCACUAAAAGAGUAAAGAAGUAGCAGUUUCCCAUUUUCAGUGAAUGUAACACAGCAUGACGCCUCGACGCCAAGAUGGGAUGGAGAAAACAGCAGGAGAAACAGAGGUGCAACACAACAUAGUAGUGAUGGGAGGAAAAAUAAAGUUGAAGUUAAACUGACUCAAGUGAUGUGCAUUUUGGGGGAAAUAUGGUCCCAGAUAUAUUCUGUAGGUAUCAUCACGCAACUUUUUCACAUGGUCUGGUGUUAAAAAAAAAAAAAAUCAUGUAACCUCUCACAUAUUUAAAGAAAAAGUUGCAGAGGGGGAAUGAGACUUCCCUUCAGGCAAAAUACUUAAUAGUUUUGCUUUAAUGCCUACAUGUGUUAUCUAUACGUGCAUCAUCCUGUUUCAAUCAAUAUAACAAUUUAAUUUUGAGACAUUUUGAAGUCACCACAAGGCUAAAAAAAAAAAAAAAAAACAGAAAUAUAGUUUUUUUUUUUCCCCGGGAAGGAUCCCUAAAUAUCCUUGUAAGGGUCUGGGCUUAGUCCCCAAAGUGUUCAGUCCCAAGAAACGCCCCUGCUCGUCAGCACACACAAUUGAAACUCCCAACUCUGAUGUUCGAGGCUGAAGUGAAGCUCCAGCCAGUUGUAUUGAGCUAAGUUCGAAGCCGAAUCGAGGCAGUUAGUGGACCAGUCAUCAAUCACCAGUGAGAGCUGGUCCGAGUGACGCACGGACAGGUUGUGCUAAGGGAUCAGGGAAAAGUUAACGCAUUUUCAGAGCUGUCUGCAGACUGCAUGGUGUUCCGGAAUGUGCAGAGCUUUAGUCAGGUUGUCGAGCCCCGGGAUUGGUGCACAUGUGUCUUCCGCCGUCAUCUCCUGCCCAGACGUCAUUAAUCUUUGUGCAGGGUGAGAUCUUCAUGGAGGAAUCGUCGUGGAUGGAAUUUAUUCGUGUGGAAUUUACAUGUAAGCGAGGCAGACAACACUGCUUGCCCGGCGGCGGGUGAGGUGAUGGUCGAGUCGGUAGGACAGCUGGUAUAGGGAAGCCGCUCGGCCUUGCAUUCCUAACCAAGAUACGUGAAACUACAGGGCGACGAGAAACUAUCACUCCGUGCCUCAGUCUGUCCGUGUGUGUACUAGUGGCGCGUAGCAUGAGGUGUCCAUUACCGCGGUCUUCCGGGGGAAAAAAAUGUCACCAGAAAAUAGCCACAUUGAAAUACAAUUUUGAAACACACACACACACACACACACACACACAC